rnacentral:rRNA from 1 species
UACGUAGGGACCAAGCGUUGUUCGGAUUUACUGGGCGUAAAGGGCGCGUAGGCGGCCACCGCAAGUCGACUGUGAAAUCUCCGGGCUUAACUCGGAAAGGUCAGCCGAUACUGCGGGGCUAGAGUGCAGAAGGGGCAACUGGAAUUCUCGGUGUAGCGGUGAAAUGCGUAGAUAUCGAGAGGAACACCUGCGGCGAAGGCGGGUUGCUGGGCUGACACUGACGCUGAUUGUGCGAAAGCUAGGGGAGCGAACGGG